UACGGAGGGUGCGAGCGUUGUCCGGAAUCACUGGGCGUAAAGGGCGCGUAGGCGGCGCGGGAAGUCAUCGGUGAAAGUUCAGGGCUCAACUCUGAAUCGGCCGGUGAUACUCUCGUGCUCGAGCACUGUAGAGGCAGGUGGAAUUCCGGGAGUAGCGGUGGAAUGCGUAGAGAUCCGGAAGAACACCGGUGGCGAAGGCGGCCUGCUGGGCAGUAGCUGACGCUGAUGCGCGACAGCGUGGGGAGCAAACAGG
rnacentral:rRNA from 1 species